CCCACGUUUGUCCUCUAAGCUUUGAGAAUAAACUACAAAAUACCAACUACUGCCUGGUGAUUGAAUAUAAACAUCAGCUUAUGUGCCAUAAAAGAAUCUGGGAGAGACUAGCAAUUUGAAUUCCCCGGAGGAAGAGCUGAGCAAUCGCCGUCAUCCUCCCUGCACCCAAAGUCGACUCAUCGCGCUCUCAUUUCACAGUUGAAGGCGACGGACAUGGAGGGAGGGGCGCAAAGAGGAGGAAGGAUCGAAUGGGAAUGUGGAAGGAAAAUUAGAAAAUGGUUGUGGAGGAGUUUGAAGCUUUUAGUGGUGGAGCACAGACCUCUACCAGACUUCCAAGGCGGCGCCACAUCCUGAUUAUACCCGACUGGAUGGAUGGACGUGGUCAAUAAUGUAAAAGCAUUGUUCACUAAGAAAGAAUACUGUAAAAAAAAAAAAAAGCCCAUUUCAGACAAAAGGUACGAAUAUCCAAUCUUGCUACAAGUGGGUUUCCUUUUAUAAAUAGUCGUAAAGUCAUUUGUUAAAUCCUGCUCAACCAGAGUUGUACUUCUGUCUUAUUCAUUCAUUUUCUUAAUGUUCUUCCCUCAGGCUGUCAAUCUGAUGAACACUGUGAACAUUUCGUAACUAAUCUGUCACUGUGUCUGUGCUAACUCAUGCUCACUUCAUCAUCUGUUUGCUUUGCUUUAUUCACCACUGCACUAUUAUUAUUUAGCCUUGCACAUAUUAGUUAAUAUUUAUUUUCUACAGUGAACAAGAGAGCACAGCCUAAUAAUAUAAUAUAAUAUAAUAUAUCAGUAUAUUUUAUAUACGGUAUAUAUAAUAUGUAAAUAUUACAUAUGUUAUAUUUUAUAUUGCUACUAUGAUUUUUUUUUUUCUUUUGUUUUCGCCCUCUUUGUGCCCUUGUGUGCAUUAUCCUUUCCAUCCUUUGGAACUGAGCUACUGUGUGGAGCAAUUUCCCUUGUGGAUCAAUAAAGUUUAUCUAAGUCUUAAGUCUAAGUCCUUGAGUGUUAAACAUACUUGGCCAUUGAAGCCGAUUCUGAAUGUACUGUGUGAA